UGUUUUUACAAAUGCUGAUGAAGAGAUGUGGGUGAUAGUUUGUAACCACUGUUGAAUCGAUUCAACCGAAUACAAAUAUGGUUCACCUAGCGCACGAAGAAUCAUAGGAUAAGCUUUAAGGAAGGCAUUUUUUGGAUAGCAUACCAUGUUUCCCAAGCCUUUCUGUGCAGCAGUGGCUACAUGAAUCUUUCUGUGAUCAAAUGUUAAGAGGUAAAAUCGUAUUU
rnacentral:lncRNA from 1 species